rnacentral:rRNA from 1 species
GACGAACGCUGGCGGCGUGCUUAACACAUGCAAGUCGAGCGGAGCGGCGAACGGGUAAGUAAAACGUGUGUAACUGCCCUCCUCUCUGGGAUAACAGUUGGAAACGGCUGGUAAUACCGGAUAGUGGGGGAUGAAUCGCGUCCUUUCCGUUUGUUGGUGGGGGAGUGGCCUACCAAGGCGACGACGGGUAGCCGGCCUGAGAGGGCGACCGGACUCGUUGGGCUGAGAUAGGGCCGAGACUCCGACGGGGGGCAGCAGUGGGGAAUAUUGCACAAGGGUGGAAACUCUGAUGCAGCAACGCGCGUGCGGGAUGACGGCCUGCGGGUUGGAAACCGCUUACAGCCAUGACGCGGUAGUCGCAGAAUAAGCACCGGCUAACUACGUGCCAGCCGCCGCGGUAAUUC